rnacentral:sRNA from 1 species
CCUGGGCGAUUCCAGCAGCUGCCCGAAGACCGGGCAUGGGAACAACCCCAUCGCGAGCGGCUCGCCCGAUGU